AGUGAACGCUGGCGGUAGGCCUAACACAUGCGAGUCGAACGGCAGCACAGUAAGAGCUUGCUCUUACGGGUGGCGAGUGGCGGAUGGGUGAGGAAUACAUCGGAAUCUACUUUUUCGUGGGGGAUAACGUAGGGAAACUUACGCUAAUACCGCAUACGACCUACGGGUGAAAGCAGGGGAUCUUCGGACCUUGCGCGAUUGAAUGAGCCGAUGUCGGAUUAGCUAGUUGGCGGGGUAAAGGCCCACCAAGGCGACGAUCCGUAGCUGGUCUGAGAGGAUGAUCAGCCACACUGGAACUGAGACACGGUCCAGACUCCUACGGGAGGCAGCAGUGGGGAAUAUUGGACAAUGGGCGCAAGCCUGAUCCAGCCAUACCGCGUGGGUGAAGAAGGCCUUCGGGUUGUAAAGCCCUUUUGUUGGGAAAGAAAAGCAGCAGGUUAAUACCCCGCUGUUCUGACGGUACCCAAAGAAUAAGCACCGGCUAACUUCGUG
rnacentral:rRNA from 1 species